UCGGCGCGCUGCUCUGGGUUGCAGGAAAGCCAGUCUCUCCAAGCAUGAUUGGGGAGGGGGCUGGGUUUUGCUUUUUGUUUCUGGAAGUCCCCCCUCACCCUCCUUAGUCCCUGCGUGCAGCCGAGAGGAUCGUGCGGAAAGGCUACAGGGCCCCAGGGCUCACCCCGCCCCGCGCACUCCGGCCGGGGCGCCAGAAGGCGCCGCCUCGGGGGGGCUCCCUGCACCCAGGAGUAGGCGCGGUGAGUGCCCUGGCUCUUCCUGCACCGCUCCCUGCCCCGGACUGGGGUGGAGGAGCGCCGCAGUAUGCCUCGGGGGUCCCUGGGCCAGGAAGACCGCAGCUCCGAGAGCUGCCAGCCACUCGAAGAAGAGGUAUUCCCGGAGCCUCUGCCCCAGCUCCUUGACUUCUGGGGUGGAUCUCCCCUUGCCGCGCUCAAAACCCGUAGAAAAUAAAAAGAUGCCUUGUGAGACCACCUGCUAAAUGUGCUUUUUGCCCUCCAGGGGUAAAAUGGCGCUCAGGCCUGGGAAAAGGCUGACUAUGGCUCAGUUGCCUUAGCCCCUGAGGAUGCAGGCUUAAAACAAGAGUUACCAGUUUGACAGGCCUGGUCCCUCCAGGGCCCUAGGAUCUUCACUGCGGGUGGGGUGGGGAUGGGAAGCCCUGGCCUGCCAGCUCCCAGAAACAGGACACUUUCCCCCUCGGCCUCAGUUUCUCAUCUUGCCAGCGGAGAGCCUGUGCUCCCUGAACCUUCAGAGUUUCUUGGAUAUAGCCAAGGAUGUAAUGAGAUCAAAAUCACAAACUCUGAAGACCUUUGAAGGGAUGAGGUCGGUGCCUACAGAACUAGUUAGUAUGGGCACUAAUGUUUACGAAUGCAUGCGAAUGACUCAGAGAAGCCGCAGUUCAGCUGCAGCCAUGGUUUCUGGAAGCAACUUGCUUAGCCCAAGCACUGGGAUUCUGUCACAGCAGGGUCUAAAAAUACCUCACAACCUGAAACCCACGGCUUAGAGCAGAAGUUUCUUCAAGUCUCUUACACAUUCCCAUUAGGUGUUUUUAAGUGAAUUGUGUCUAAAGGUAUGGGUUAUACAAAUAGUUAUGAAUAUGCAAAUAUUUAUGCUAAUUCUCUGCACAGUAAAUUUUUAGUUACGGCAGCUGCUUGGUUGCCCCUUCGGGUGAGAAUGUUUCACAUGAAUUUUUUUUUAAAUGAGAGCGUUUCUUUUUCUCACUCCCCCCCCUUUGGAGACAGGGUCUCACAUAUGUAGCUUUGACUGGACUCAAACUCAAGAGAUCUGCCUACCCCUGCCUCCCUGACUGUAGUGUGUGGAAACCCAGAGGCAGAACCAGCACCAUGGUCUAUGAGGUGUCCUAGGUCAACUUUUCAAACUCCUGUUUUCUAGGGGUUCCCCUCUUGGUUGGUGUGAGCAUGGUGAGGCUACAGAGAUUGCUAACAUUCCCACUCAGCACAACUGACAGCGCUGGUGCUGGUGUCCUGUGUCCCACACAAUGAGGCAGAGCCACUUUCCAGGAGACUCAGCCCUCUGUGACAGGCCACCAGGUGGUUAAGGAGUCACCAGGAAGAGCGUUCAUGCACAGGGCAACAGGAUAGGCGGGGCACCAUACUGCUCUUGGCCUUCAAGGGUGCCACUUCAAAGGACCAGAGUAUGCUGGACUGGGCUCAAACGCCAGCUUCCAGCCAACCCUAGAGUGGUAGGAAAGGAAACAGCAGGCCCCAGAAAGUAACCAGCUCUGGUUACUCUUUAUGCUGUGUCAUAGGGUGGAGAUGCCAGAGAGGACUGGCUGGCCAGCUGCGAAAGGUACAGAGACCAACAGACAGCUGCCGGAGCACACUGUGCCCUGACCUCACACACCUGCGAAGACAGGGCAGGGCCCUAGGGGCACCUCUUACACACCUUUCUACCCACACACCAGGAGAACCUUCUGGACUGUUUUUGAGACAGGGUUUCUUACCGUUGCUUAGAUUGGCCUUGAACUUGCAGAAAUCCCUGUGCUUUGACCUCUGUAGGCAUUGGCCUACAGCAUCAUGCCUUGCUAAUAAAACAAGUUUGUGCAUGUC